CCUACGGGCGGCAGCAGUGAGGAAUAUUGGUCAAUGGACGAGAGUCUGAACCAGCCAAGUAGCGUGAAGGAUGACUGCCCUAUGGGUUGUAAACUUCUUUUAUAUGGGAAUAAAAUGUUCCACGUGUGGGAUUUUGUAUGUACCAUAUGAAUAAGGAUCGGCUAACUCCGUGCCAGCAGCCGCGGUAAUACGGAGGAUCCGAGUGUUAUCCGGAUUUAUUGGGUUUAAAGGGAGCGUAGGUGGAUUGUUAAGUCAGUUGUGAAAGUUUGCGGCUCAACCGUAAAAUUGCAGUUGAAACUGGCAGUCUUGAGUACAGUAGAGGUGGGCGGAAUUCGUGGUGUAGCGGUGAAAUGCUUAGAUAUCACGAAGAACUCCGAUUGCGAAGGCAGUUCACUGGACUGCAACUGACACUGAGGCUCGAAAGUGUGGGUAUCAAACAGGAUUAGAUACCCGUGUAGUC
rnacentral:rRNA from 1 species